GUACACUCCUACGGGAGGCAGCAGUGGGGAAUAUUGGACAAUGGGCGCAAGCCUGAUCCAGCCAUGCCGCGUGAGUGAUGAAGGCCCUAGGGUUGUAAAGCUCUUUCACCGGUGAAGAUAAUGACGGUAACCGGAGAAGAAGCCCCGGCUAACUUCGUGCCAGCAGCCGCGGUAAUACGAAGGGGGCUAGCGUUGUUCGGAUUUACUGGGCGUAAAGCGCACGUAGGCGGACUAUUAAGUCAGGAGUGAAAUCCCGGGGCUCAACCCCGGAACUGCCUUUGAUACUGGUAGUCGUGAGUUCGAGAGAGGUGAGUGGAAUUCCGAGUGUAGAGGUGAAAUUCGUAGAUAUUCGGAGGAACACCAGUGGCGAAGGCGGCUCACUGGCUCGAUACUGACGCUGAGGUGCGAAAGCGUGGGGAGCAAACAGGAUUAGAAACCCGGGUAGUCCCA
rnacentral:rRNA from 1 species